GAUGAACGCUGGCGGCGUGCUUAACACAUGCAAGUCGAACGGAAAGGCUCCUGCUUGCCGGGGUACUCGAGUGGCGAACGGGUGAGUAACACGUGGGUGAUCUGCCCUGCACUUCGGGAUAAGCCUUGGAAACUGGGUCUAAUACCGGAUAGGACGAUGGUUUGGAUGCCAUUGUGGAAAGUUUUUCGGUGUGGGAUGAGCUGGCGGCCUAUCAGCUUGUUGGUGGGGUAAUGGCCUACCAAGGCGUCGACGGGUAGCCGGCCUGGGAGGGUGGACGGGCACCAUGGGACUGCGAGACGGACCAGUAGCCUACGGGCAGCAGCAGGGGGGAGUAUUGCGCAAUGGGCGCAAGCCUGAGACAGCGGCGCCGCGUGGGGGAUGACGGCCUUCGGGUUGUAAACAACUUUCGCUGGAGACGAAGCGCAAGUGACGGUACCUGAAGAAGAAGCACCGGCUAACUACGUG
rnacentral:rRNA from 1 species